AGGAAUAUCACAGCCAAUUAAGUUACCAUAUAUACUUUUAAGUUGCUGUAUAAAGUUGGUCAUAUUUCUUUAUCAGGAAGAAGCUUCUCUCCAAAGGCGUCGUGCUGCAGUGCGCCAGGCUCUGUCGGGGAAGGCACCUAGUGCAUCUGUCCAGCUUUUCCAAAGAGGCCUGGCAGUCACUCCUGAACCGAGCAGCUCCCGUCAACAAUUCCUGGAACCAACAAUACAUUCUUCUCUGCUCUCAGAUGGAAGAAAUGUCACCCAGGACCAGAGCUUGGCCCUGACUAACCCAGAGAGCCGCUCCAGAGAAUCUGGUCCUGCUCGUGGACGAUUCCUAAUCUCAUCUGGUGCACCUGCUGCUGAAGGCCUGCCCGUUCGGACCCCUGUUCCCCAAGCUCACCUCACUGGAGAUGCCAAAGCUGAGCAUCAAGACCUAAGAGGAGCUGAAAAUGGAGUGGAUAGACUGAAAGGUUUGAACCAAAGUAAGAGUUUUGCUCAGGUUGUGCAUCUUACUGUAAUGCUGACAGCUUCAUUUGGGUGACGGGACAGCCUCU
rnacentral:lncRNA from 1 species